rnacentral:rRNA from 1 species
GACGAACGCUGGCGGCGUGCCUAAUACAUGCAAGUCGAACGCUUCUUUCCUGCCGAGUGCUUGCACUCACUUGGAAAGAGGAGUGGCGGACGGGUGAGUAACACGUGGGUAACCUGCCCAUCAGAGGGGGAUAACACUUGGAAACAGGUGCUAAUACCGCAUAAUAGUCGACACCGCAUGGUGUUGAUUUGAAAGACGCUUUCGGGUGUCGCUGAUGGAUGGACCCGCGG